UGGGGAAUAUUGCACAAUGGGCGCAAGCCUGAUGCAGCCAUGCCGCGUGUAUGAAGAAGGCCUUCGGGUUGUAAAGUACUUUCAGCGGGGAGGAAGGUGUUGUGGUUAAUAACCUCAGCAAUUGACGUUACCCGCAGAAGAAGCACCGGCUAACUCCGUGCCAGCAGCCGCGGUAAUACGGAGGGUGCAAGCGUUAAUCGGAAUUACUGGGCGUAAAGCGCACGCAGGCGGUCUGUCAAGUCGGAUGUGAAAUCCCCGGGCUCAACCUGGGAACUGCAGCCGAAACUGGCAGGCUUGAGUCUUGUAGAGGUGGGUAGAAUUCCAGGUGUAGCGGUGAAAUGCGUAGAGAUCUGGAGGAAUACCGGUGGCGAAGGCGGCCCCCUGGACAAAGACUGACGCUCAGGUGCGAAAGCGUGGGGAGCAAACA
rnacentral:rRNA from 1 species